CCCGGGGGCAGGGAGGCGGGGGCCGGCGGCGGGCGGCCGGGAGCGGGGGCCGGCUCUAGUCCCCGGGAGAAGCCAAGAAGCCUGCCAGAGACUGGGUUGCUGCCUUGCCAAGAGCUAUCCUGCUAGGGCUAUUGAAAGAGCUUUAAGGCGGCAGCCGGUUCCUUGCAGCUGGGAGUGUGUCCGAAGACACUGUCGACAUUCCAAGCAUCCUGUGCCUGCAUGUUUGUCUGUGGGUGCCUCCUGGCGACACCACACCACACCGGGGCUGGAAGGAAGCCGGAGAUUACUUUCUCUGUGGCCACUUUGCUGCUCUGGCCGCAGGUGUUUGGCUGGCUGGUGACGUCAGGAUCCUUACCGGGAAUCAUCAUCACUGUCUUCUCAGAUAAGAGUCUUCAAGCUCAUCACAGAAGUCCCAAGCAGAGCUGCUCAUAACCUGGACAGUCCCCGAAAAAGGGAUUUGAAUCUGUUCCUUUAUAUGCCCCUGUCUGUCUAGCAGGUGUCUAAUAAAUAUUUCCCAAAUGAA